GGCCCUGUAGUGUAGCGGUUAUCACAUGGGAUUCUGAUGAGAUUCGAUCGCGGUUGAUUGAUCAAAAUUUCCCAUAACCCAGGUUCGAUUCCUGGCAGGGCCU
rfam:Ceriporiopsis subvermispora B unplaced genomic scaffold CERSTscaffold_2, whole genome shotgun sequence.